rnacentral:rRNA from 1 species
CAGUAGCCGCGGUAAUACGGAGGGAGCUAGCGUUGUUCGGAAUUACUGGGCGUAAAGCGCGCGUAGGCGGUUACUCAAGUCAGAGGUGAAAGCCCGGGGCUCAACCCCGGAACUGCCUUUGAAACUAGGUGACUAGAAUCUUGGAGAGGUCAGUGGAAUUCCGAGUGUAGAGGUGAAAUUUGUAGAUAUUCGGAAGAACACCAGUGGCGAAGGCGACUGACUGGACAAGUAUUGACGCUGAGGUGCGAAAGCGUGGGGAGCAAACAGGAUUAGAUACCCCCGUAGUCCCUGUCUCUUAUAC